rnacentral:rRNA from 1 species
UGGGGAAUAUUGGACAAUGGGCGAAAGCCUGAUCCAGCCAUGCCGCGUGUGUGAAGAAGGUCUUCGGAUUGUAAAGCACUUUAAGUUGGGAGGAAGGGUUGUAGAUUAAUACCCUGCAAUUUUGACGUUACCGACAGAAUAAGCACCGGCUAACUCUGUGC